GACGAACGCUGGCGGCGUGCUUAACACAUGCAAGUCGAACGGAAAGGCCCUGCUUUUGUGGGGUGCUCGAGUGGCGAACGGGUGAGUAACACGUGAGUAACCUGCCCUUGACUUUGGGAUAACUUCAGGAAACUGGGGCUAAUACCGGAUAGGAGCUCCUGCUGCAUGGUGGGGGUUGGAAAGUUUCGGCGGUUGGGGAUGGACUCGCGGCUUAUCAGCUUGUUGGUGGGGUAGUGGCUUACCAAGGCUUUGACGGGUAGCCGGCCUGAGAGGGUGACCGGCCACAUUGGGACUGAGAUACGGCCCAGCCUCCUACGGGAGGCAGCAGUGGGGAAUAGUGCACAAUGGGCGGAAGCCUGAUGCAGCAACGCCGCGUGCGGGAUGACGGCCUUCGGGUUGUAAACCGCUUUCGCCUGUGACGAAGCGUGAGUGACGGUAAUGGGUAAAGAAGCACCGGCUAACUACGUG
rnacentral:rRNA from 1 species